rnacentral:rRNA from 1 species
UUCAUAAUAACUCAACGAAUCGCAUGGCCUUGCGCCGGCGAUGGUUCAUUCAAAUUUCUGCCCUAUCAACUUUCGAUGGUAGGAUAGUGGCCUACCAUGGUCUCAACGGGUAACGGGGAAUUAGGGUUCUAUUCCGGAGAGGGAGCCUGAGAAACGGCUACCACAUCCAAGGAAGGCAGCAGGCGCGCAAAUUACCCAAUCCCAAUUCGGGGAGGUAGUGACAAUAAAUACUGAUACAGGGCUCUUUUGGGUCUUGUAAUUGGAAUGAGUACAAUCUAAAUCCCUUAACGAGGAACAAUUGGAGGGCAAGUCUGGUGCCAGCAGCCGCGGUAAUUCCAGCUCCAAUAGCGUAUAUUAAAGUUGUUGCCGUUAAAAAGCUCGUAGUUGAACCUUGGGCCUGGCUGAUCUGUCCUCCUAAUCGAGCGCACGGAUUCGGUCGGGCCUUUCCUUCUGGGGAGCCCGAUGCCCUUCACUGGGCGUCGUGGGGAACCAGGACUUUUACCUUGAAAAAAUUAGAGUGUUCAAAGCAGGCCUUUGCUCGAAUACAUUAGCAUGGAAUAAUAGAAUAGGACAGAGGUUCUAUUUUGUUGGUUUCUAGGACCGCUGUAAUGAUUAAUAGGGAUAGUCGGGGGCGUCCGUAUUCAAUUGUCAGAGGUGAAAUUCUUGGAUUUAUUGAAGACGAACUACUGCGAAAGCAUUCGCCAAGGAUGUUUUCAUUAAUCAGUGAACGAAAGUUAGGGGGAUCGAAGACGAUCAGAUACCGUCGUAGUCUUAACCAUAAACUAUGCCGACUAGGGAUCGGACGGUGGUUUUUUUAUGCCCCGUUCGGCACCUUACGA